rnacentral:rRNA from 1 species
GCGUUGUCCGGAAUUAUUGGGCGUAAAGAGCUUGUAGGCGGUUUGUCGCGCCUGCUGUGAAAAUCCGGGGCUCAACCCCGGACUUGCAGUGGGUACGGGCAGACUAGAGUGUGGUAGGGGAGACUGGAAUUCCUGGUGUAGCGGUGAAAUGCGCAGAUAUCAGGAAGAACACCGAUGGCGAAGGCAGGUCUCUGGGCCACAACUGACGCUGAGAAGCGAUAGCAUG